rnacentral:lncRNA from 1 species
UGUUUCUACUAGGCCAACAAUGGAUGGGUGAUACCUAUACCAUGAAAAAAUUUUUUUUGUGUUUGUGUAACGUGUAAUGUGGCCGUUUUUCUGUUUUUGCUGUUUGGGGUUGUACGGAGGAUAUCCAACCAAAAGUUAUUUUCACAAGAUGCAAAUGUUAACACCUCAAUUUUGUAGCGGUACUUUUUUAACAAUUGACCAUUAGCUCCGAUGAUGACAUUUAUGUCGAAAGCGCUCAGCUAAAGAAAUAAAUUAUUUACACACUUUGA